rnacentral:tRNA from 1 species
GGGGGUGUAGCUCAGUUGGUUAGAGCGGUACUCUGUUAAAGUAAUGGUCACAGGUUCGAAUCCUGUCUCCCCCGCCA